CGUUGUCGUCACUACCGCAUUGCAUUGUGGGAUAUUUAUGUCGCUGUAGUGUCCAGCGUUGCAUACUGUAAUAUUUCAAUGGAAAUAGUAUGCAAUUCACGUACUAUUGGUUUCAUACUGAGGUUUUGGACAUAUUAAAAAAUCUCACACACUGUUUUAGCAUGUUAUUAUGGAA